rnacentral:lncRNA from 1 species
UAACUGAGACAGGUUCUUCCGCGCUGGUUAGCGUUGGUCCUGGCGAUUUUUCUUAGAAGAAAUCGCCAGGACCAUCGCUAACCGAAAUCAACGGCGCUUACAAGCUUACGAGCACCGAACGUGGAAGUCUUGACAUUUGUACUUCCAAGUUAUAACAACCUAUUCGUCUAUUUUGUAUCUAUACAUCGUAUUUAUUUAUGCAUAAAUGUUAACUUAAUAAGAGGCCGAGGUCCAAUGUUACCGAGCUAGUUUUGCAGGGGUCCACCAUCAAAAAAGUUUUCGAACGAUCACGCACACCGUGCUGUCGACGGUCGAUUUUACCUAAUUGAACAAUAGUUGCAAAUAGUUGAAACAAAAAGAAAUGAAAAGGGCUGCAUUCUUUCUGAUUUAUUGUUUGGCUGUAAUAAAUGCUAGACCAGAAGAAACAAAGAUUAAGGCAUCUGAUGUUGAAAACGUAGA